UAUGAAAUGUCUGCCUUCCUGCAACAAACCUACUCUGAAGUAGGCCAAUGGAAGGCAGUUGUAUCCAUCUGACCUUUUCAAGCUUCUGCUUGAGCCUGAAAAAAAAGGUGUUGCAGCUUCAAAGAAUCACUCAUUAAAGUUAAUGUGACUUUUAAAGCAGCAGCAGUUUCUAUCAAGCUGUGGUAAUGAA